GAUGAACGCUAGCGGCAGGCUUAACACAUGCAAGUCGAGGGGUAUAGUUCUUCGGAACUAGAGACCGGCGCACGGGUGCGUAACGCGUAUGUAAUCUACCUUUUAGUGUGGGAUAGCCCAGAGAAAUUUGGAUUAAUACCACAUAGUAUAUUGGAGUGGCAUCACUUUGAUAUUAAAGAUUUAUCGCUAAAAGAUGGGUGUGCGUAUGAUUAGGUAGUUGGUAGAGGUAACGGCUCACCAAGCCUUCGAUCAUUAACUGGUGUGAGAGCACGACCAGUCACACGGGCACUGAGACACGGGCCCGACUCCUACGGGAGGCAGCAGUAAGGAAUAUUGGUCAAUGGACGGAAGUCUGAACCAGCCAUGCCGCAUGAAGGAUGACGGCCCUCUGGGUUGUAAACUUCUUUUAUGUGGGACGAAAAAGGGCCAUUUUUGGUCAACUGACGGUACCAUAGGAAUAAGCACCGGCUAACUCCGUGCCAGCAGCCGCGGUAA
rnacentral:rRNA from 1 species